rnacentral:rRNA from 1 species
UACAGAGGUCCCAAGCGUUGUUCGGAUUCACUGGGCGUAAAGGGUGCGUAGGCGGUUGGGUAAGUCUGACGUGAAAUCUCCGGGCCUAACCCGGAAACUGCGUUGGAUACUAUCCGGCUAGAGGAAUGGAGGGGAGACUGGAAUACUUGGUGUAGCAGUGAAAUGCGUAGAUAUCCGGAAGAACACCGGUGGCGAAGGCGGUCUGCUGGGCAGUUGCUGACACUGAGGCGCGACAGCGUGGGGAGCAAACAGG